AAUAAAUUAUCUUUUGAUUAAACUUCCUUCAUUUAAAAUUUUUUUUUUAAUUCAAAGUUGGGCUACUUGGCCCAUUUAUUAAAAAACAAAGUAAAUUGUUUACACCCGAGUCAAAAGUGACUCGGUCCAUAAAAACAACAAUAAAAUCUACCAGCAAUAUCUGGUCUUAACAAAUGUGGAAAAAGGAAAGUUACCAGACCUUCCAUCCACUAUACCAAACUAUUAUUGCUGCCACCAUUAAUGAGCUGCUCUUGUCCAUCUUUUUGAAAAUUCCACGAAAAUGAUACUCCUUCAAACGGUUCUUUUCUCAAGAUCUCCAACAAUCGAAGUUCUUCAAUUGGUUCCUUCAGAUCGGAAGUUUGGGAAUACCAACCAAGGUAAGAAUUUCAUUUUACCUUCAAUUUCUUUGAUUAACUUUCUUCUUGUGCCUAUUUUGACAGAAAUCAUCCUUUACAUUUCCAAGCUGAACUACGGUUUCUAUUUAACCUCCAAGUUGCAAUGAUACUAUGGUUGCUUCCAGAUUGAAGACUAUCAUUGUGGUGCUGGCUGCUUCAUCCUUAAUUAGAGAUCAAGGAUUCAAUAUUGGGCAUGGAGAAAACUUUAUUGAGAGUACUACCCCUGAAUGGGGCCUUAUCCGAUGCGAAUUUGAAUUAGUCAAGCUCUAAUACGGGUACCAAACACCAGAUGGAAACCAAAAAAAAAAAAGAUUGAAGACUACUAACUUUUUGUAUCUAAUUAACUUGAGUCAUUUUCUUAGCUAUAUUUGUUUUCCAUCUAACUUGUAUUUAAGAUAUUCAAUGUUCAAUUUUAAUUCUUUUAAAUGUUUACCAAA